CGGUCGGUUCCUUUGUCCAGGGAGGCCUGAGAUCACAGAGCAGCCCGGCAGCUCUCAUGAGAGCAGCACAUGUGAAGUGGGCAUUGCCAGGGAAGUGGUGGGAGAUUUAAAUGGACACUAACCCGGAAGAAGCCCUUGAUCACUGAGGUUCGCUGCUUCGGAGCUGCCCUGGCAAGAACCGCAAUGACUAAUUGUGAGAUAAAGCCUGAAGGACAGAGAGGAGUCAGGGUGUGUGAAUCACGUGGGAUGUCCAGACAAGGAGAAACGGUAAGCCAGCUAUUCGCAUGGCUACACAGAGAAGUGGGUUGUUAUCUCACUGUCAUGAGAGUGAUUUUCAGGGCAAACUCCGAGUGGAUCAGCGAGCAGGCAGGGCAGGGCACCUUGCCAUACAGGAGGGGGCUUAACACUUGACACUUAGCACUUAACACUUAACAAGUCACAGGUCAAGUUAACAGGUCAUUGCUUUCUGGACACAUUGGGGAGCAACCAUGGUCACCACAUGGCGGCGAGCUGCUGUUAGAAGGAACGUGGAGACUCAGACUCUGAAAGCAUGAAUGUCCAUGCCGCAGUUCAGGUCUCAGGCUGCAGAGAAUGCCUGGCCCUGUCACUGCUACAGGAGGGCAGCCAGGAUACCAGCUGUGUGCAAUGUGAGCAGGUGGAGGAUCUGCUCAGCCUGGUGGUAGAGCUAAAGAAGGAAGUAGAAAGGCUGAAGAGCAUCCGGGAUUGUGGGAAGGGGAUUGAUUGGUGGAGUCGCACUCUGCCAUCCCUACAGGAAGGGUGUGGGGGAGGUGGUCCUCAAGCAGUGGGGGAUCAUCUGCUGUCUCACAGUCAGGUGGGGUGGGGUGACCUCAAAGACAGUGAGGUAUGGAAAGAAGUCCCUCUUUGGGGCAACAAGCGGACUGCCCCUCAGCCUGUCCCACCUUCCCAGGUGCCCUUACAUAACAGGUAUGUGGCUCUGGAGCUGGACGCACUGGGGGCUGUGGUUGUUGGUAAAAGUCCAUCUGUGCAGGUGAGAUUACCCAAGGCUAGUCAGUCUGUUCCCUGUUUUGCUACAUCAGUCAGGAAAG
ensembl:lncRNA